rnacentral:rRNA from 1 species
CCUACGGGAGGCAGCAGUGGGGGAUAUUGGACAAUGGGGGGAACCCUGAUCCAGCGACGCCGCGGGAGUGAAGAAGGAUUUCGGGACGGAAAGCUCUGGCAGCAGGGAAGAAAGAAAUGACGGUACCUGACCAAGAAGCCCAGGCUAACUACGUGCCAGCAGCCGCGGUAAUACGUAGGGGGCAAGCGUUAGCCGGAAUUACUGGGUGGAAAGGGAGCGUAGACGGUGAAGUAAGGCUGGAGUGAAAGGCCGGGGCCCAACCCCGGGACGGCUCUGGAAACUAGUGAACUUGAGUGCAGGAGAGGUAAGCGGAAUGCCUAGUGUAGCGGUGAAAUGCGUAGAUAUUAGGAGGAACACCAGUGGCGAAGGCGGCUUACUGGACUGUAACUGACGUUGAGGCUCGAAAGCGUGGGGAGCAAACAGGAUUAGAUACCCCUGUAGUC